GUCUUUUUGAAUUAAAUUUAAAGUCUAACCUGCCCACUGAAAAUUUUAAAUGGCCGCAGUAUUCUAACUGUGCAAAGGUAGCAUAAUCAUUAGUCUUUUAAUUGAAGGCUGGAAUGAAUGGUUGGACGAAAUAUUAACUGUUUCAUUUAAAUUUUUUAUAAAAUUUUAUUUUUUAGUCAAAAAGCUAAAAUAAAUUUAAAAGACGAGAAGACCCUAUAAAUCUUUAUAUUUAGUUUAUUUUAAUAAUAAAGAUUAUUUUUAUUAUAAUAAAUUUAAAUAUUUUAUUGGGGUGAUAUUAAAAUUUAAAAAACUUUUAAUUUUUAAAAACCAUUAAUUUAUGAAUAAUUGAUCCAUUAAUAAUGAUUAAAAAUUUAAGUUACUUUAGGGAUAACAGCGUAAUUUUUUUGGAGAGUUCUUAUCGAUAAAAAAGAUUGCGACCUCGAUGUUGGAUUAAGAUAUAAUUUUGGGUGUAGCCGUUCAAAUUUUAAGUCUGUUCGACUUUUAAAUUCUU
rnacentral:rRNA from 1 species